AGUUUGAUCCUGGUCCAGGUUGAACGCUGGCGGCAUGCCUUACACAUGCAAGUCGAACGGUAACAGGUCUUCGGAUGCUGACGAGUGGCGAACGGGUGAGUAAUACAUCGGAACGUGCCCGAUCGUGGGGGAUAACGAGGCGAAAGCUUUGCUAAUACCGCAUACGAUCUACGGAUGAAAGCGGGGGAUCUUCGGACCUCGCGC
rnacentral:rRNA from 1 species